rnacentral:lncRNA from 1 species
UGAUCUAAAAAUUUUGGGACAAUUGAGGCCAAUAUAAACAAUAAGGUGACAACUGCUGCUAGUUUAAGGGAAAAAGAGAGGCAGAUGCAUGGCCUGUUGGUGGUGCGCGCUGCAGACCUGUGGCUAGUACAUAGGUGCACAACCUAGCGGGCAUGCAGCUGUAGAGAAUGGAGGCUGGAGCUGUACGGCUGGGACUGUUGCUUCUGAAUAGAUAGGAGCUGUGCGACUGUAAUGCUUAUAUGCGCAGUUCGAGGUGCAGUUGGAAGAUCUAGAGCUCAUGAUGAAGAUAGGUCUCAAUGGCUGGUGGCCGGUCUGUGAUGGCUGGCUGCUGGGGUUGUGGUGGCCAGCAAUGAGUAUUGGCCCCCUUAGGAGUUUUUUUUUUCUUUUUAAUAUUUCGGC